AUUUAGGACAGAAGCAGGAAGGCUCAUCCAGGUACCCUUUGCUUUUAGAAAGUCAAACCAUGCUCACCAAAGCCUGGACUCUGUCCUUCCUUGCACUUUUCAGCUACUUCUCAGGUAAGGAUGUGGAGGACUCACACUCCUCAGGACUCAGAACAACAAACAGAUGCUAUGCAUUUAUCAUAGUGCUUCCUUCAUAUCUGGAAGCAGAAGCAAGAUUAAAUGUUUUCCUUUCAUUUUUCCAUCUUCCAAAGGUGUGAUUUCACAGGAUACGAUGACUCAACCUCCCUCUCAGUCUGUGUCACCAGGAGAAACCACUAAACUCUCCUGCAUCGCCAGCAGCAAUCGUGGCUAUAUUUACUGGUAUCAGCAGAGACCUGGACAAGCCCCUCGCUAUGUGCAGUGUAAUGGUUGCAGCAGAGGAACAGGGAUACCUGAUCGAUUCACUGCUUCCCUCUCUGGGAAUAUGGGCUAUUUAACCAUAACCAACACCCAGGCUGACGAUGAGGCUGUUUAUUAUUGUGGGGAUUGGUUCAGCAAUGUGUU